rnacentral:lncRNA from 10 species
CUUGACAGGGACCCCCCGGCCCUAACACCCAUCAGGAGUUGGAGCAGUUCCUGCAGGAGCCUGUUCCUUCCCUGGGCUGACGCCCCCUUGCCUCUGCCUGGUACCCACAUGACUUGGAACUGAACUAACAUUUUUCUUUAAAAAGCAAAACUUAAAAAAAAAAAAAAAGAGGAGAGAGAUAGAGGAAGGUGAAUUAGACUCCAAAAGAUGACCCUGCUGUAGCUGGGCCCUGACACUGUCACCCUCCACCGACUUUGUUUUCUCAGGAUGGAUUUUUGCUGUUUUGGCUCUCAGCACCUACCUCAGCCGGAAUGAAUGUCCUGGGGGGCAGUGGGGCGGUGGCCUCAGCCCCCUUACCCCACAGAGCCCG